rnacentral:rRNA from 1 species
AUGCUCCGCCUCAGCGUCCAUCCCUUCUCCCCGGCUUCCUCCUCCCCGCUCCACACCUGCCUCCCAUCGAGACCGCUCCGCUCACCCACCAGCGCCGCGCUGACUGCCUCCUCCUCCUUAGUGCCGCCAUCCCUCCGCCGCGGCUGCACGGCUGGCCGGAGCCGGCGUGCAACGACGAUGGCCGCGGUGAUCUCGCCGGUGGGCAGCAGCGGCCUGGUCCAGGACCUCGUGUCCUCGGCCCUCACCGCAGGCGUCGCCCACGGCCUCUUCCAUUUCAUCCAGGGGCUUGUCGAGCGCGGCUUCUGCGAUCUGAAACUCAAUAGGAAACUUAUGCACAUAACUAUUGGGAUGGUACCCUUGCUCUUUUGGCCCCUUUUCAGCUCGGGAAGGUAUGCUCGUUUCCUUGCUGCACUUCCGUCUGUGAUUAAUAUUAUAAGGACUCUUCUAUUGGGGCUAGGAGUAAGGAAAAAUGAAGUUGUAGUCAAAAUAUUGAGCCGAUCUAGAGACCAAAGGUUUUUUUUUGCGGGGACUAGAGAGCAAAGGGAAUUCCUCAAGGCACCACUGUACUAUGUUACUGCUAUAGCUUUGGCCACUUCUGUACUUUGGAGAACAUCUCCGAUUGCUAUAGCACUUAUCUGCAACUUAUGCGCUGGAGAUGGUGUAGCAGACAUAGUGGGGAGACGUUUAGGGAAAGAAAAGCUUCCAUACAACCCCAAAAAGUCAUAUGCUGGAAGCAUAGCGAUGGCUAUAGCUGGUUUCUUGGCUUCAAUUGGGUGCAUGCAUUACUUUCACACUUUUGGUUUCAUUGAGGAAAGUUGGCGCAUGACCUUCGGCUUCCCUGUGGUCUCCGUAGCCGCGUCACUUGUACAGUCACACCCCAACAACACUGAAUUGGAUAACAAUUUAACUGUACCUCUCGCAUCAUUCCUGGUUGGUAGCCUCAUUCUAUGA